UUAAAUCCCUUAUCGAGGAUCCAUUGGAGGGCAAGUCUGGUGCCAGCAGCCGCGGUAAUUCCAGCUCCAAUAGCGUAUAUUAAAGUUGUUGCAGUUAAAACGCUCGUAGUCGGACCUCGGAGCGCCCCCACGGGCCGGGCUUUUGCCUUGUUGCCAGUGGGAGUUUGUCUCYUCUUGUCGGGACGCGGUGUGUGGGGACUUUACUGUCUCUGCGCGUUUACCUGCGGGCCGACCGUUUACUGUGAAGAAAGUAAAGUGUUCAAAGCAGGCCAUUGCCUUGAAUAUKUGAGCAUGGAAUAAUAGAAUAGGACUUGGGCUCUAUUUUGUUGGUUUCCAGUGACCAAGUAAUGAUUAAUAGGGACGGUUGGGGGCAUUCGUAUUUCAUUGUCAGAGGUGAAAUUCUUGGAUUGAUGGAAGACGUACAACUGCGAAAGCAUCUGCCAUGGAUGUUUUCAUUGAUCAAGAACGAAAGUUAGGGGAUCGAAGACGAUCAGA
rnacentral:rRNA from 1 species